CCAGAGCCUGUCAUUGAGGAAGUGGACCUGGCCAACCUGGCACCUCGGAAACCUGACUGGGAUCUGAAGAGAGAUGUGGCCAAGAAGCUGGAGAAACAGACCCAGAGAGCCAUUGUAGAGCUGAUCCGUAAGUGCACUCUGGCCAGUGGGGGCCUGCCCUUGGAGCAGUGACUUCAGCACAGGCCUUUUCCACUUGUCUGUUCUCUCUCCAUCCAGGUGAACGGCUGAAAGGUCAGGUGGACAGCCUGGCCUCUGCAGUGGCUGCCAACAUUGAAACAGAGGCCUGUGACUCCGACUGACAUGUUUUCCUGGUUUAAUUUCUUGAGCACACACAUCUCCUGUCAUGUAAAUGGUGCUUUUUAACUUCUGUAAAUAAACUUUUAUUUAGUAGAGGCA